UACGUAGGUGGCAAGCGUUGUCCGGAUUUACUGGGCGUAAAGAGCGCGCAGGCGGUCGUUCAAGUCGCGUGUGAAAGCCCCCGGCUCAACUGGGGAGGGUCACGCGAUACUGAUCGACUGGAAGGCAGGAGAGGGUAGUGGAAUUCCCGGUGUAGUGGUGAAAUGCGUAGAUAUCGGGAGGAACACCGGUGGCGAAGGCGGCAUUCUGGACCGAUAUUGACGCUGAGGAGCGAAAGCCAGGGGAGCAAACGGG
rnacentral:rRNA from 1 species